rnacentral:rRNA from 1 species
CGGUCCAGACUCCUACGGGAGGCAGUAGUCGGGAAUAUUGCGCAAUGGAGGAAACUCUGACGCAGUGACGCCGCGUGCAGGAAGAAGGUUUUCGGAUUGUAAACUGCUUUAGACAGGGAAGAAACAAGACAGUACCUGUAGAAUAAGCUCCGGCUAACUACGUGCCAGCAGCCGCGGUAA